GAUGAACGCUAGCUACAGGCUUUAACACAUGCAAGUCGAGGGGCAGCAUUUUUUAUUAGCAAUAUAAAAGAUGGCGACCGGCGCACGGGUGAGUAAACACGUAUCCAACCUGCCGAUAACUCGGGGGAUAAACCCUUCGAAAGAAAGGACCUAAUACCCGAUGGCAUAUCCCCUCCGCCUGGUGGGGAUAUUAAAAGAACUUCGGUUAUCGAUGGGGAUGCGUUCCAUUAGCUUGUUGGCGGGUAACGGCCACCGAGGCAUCGAUGGAUAGGGGCUCUGAGAGGAAGGUCCCCCACAUUGGAACUGAGACACGGUCCAAACUCCUACGGGAGGCAGCAGUGAGGAAUAUUGGUCAAUGGACGAGAGUCUG
rnacentral:rRNA from 1 species